rnacentral:misc_RNA from 1 species
AACUUUCGACAACGGAUCUCUAGGCUCUCGCAACGAUGAAGAACGCAGCGAAAUGCGAUAAGUAAUGUGAAUUGCAGAAUUCCGUGAAUCAUCAAAUCUUUGAACGCACAUUGCACUCAACUUUGGUUGAGUAUAUCUGUUUGAGAAUCAGUUUAAUUCUCACUUUGGGCUUGGCCUAGAGUGGACUUGGGACUCCUUGGCUUACCCCGAGAGACCUUAACACUAUUUGUCGCCUUGAUUUUUCAUGACCCCGACUGGAAGGCAUAAUUAUUGCUGCAAGGCUCCUUGUGCUGAUAACAGUAGGCCGAGUGGACUAUCGCCGGGUGCAAAACUAAUUACAAGGCCGAAAGGCUUUAAGACUUGAUCUCAAAUCAGAUAAGACUACCCGCUGAACUUAAGCAUAUCAAUAAGCGGAGGCU